rnacentral:lncRNA from 1 species
GAGGCGGAGACACAAGGCUCCGUUCCACUGGGCACGCCAGCGGUAGAGACAGGGUUUCACCAUGUUGGCCAGGCUGGUCUCAAACUCCUGAGCUCAGGCGAUCUGCCCGCCUCGGCCUCCCAAAGUGCUGGGAUUACGGGCGUGAGCCACUGCACCCGGUUCAAGCGAUUCUCCUGCCUCAGCCCCCUGAGUAGCUGGGAUUACAGGCACGCGCCACCACUCCCAGAUCUUCACUUCAGGUCAGCUCCAAGGAGGCUAUCCUUGCCCAUCUUCCUAAAAUAGAGCUCUCAAAACCUGGCUGUUUUCCUUCAGAGCACUGGCCUCCAAUUGCUCCGGUAGAUUGCAAAUGACCUGCUUUCUUUCUGUUCCCGGGCGUUUGGACCCCUGUCUUGGACCGCUGUCGGAUAGUAAAUCCCAAGUAAGGUACCUGCCGUCGGCAGAUUUGAGCUUUCUUCUUGGACACCUAAUACCCAGAGUCCUCCAGGCUCCGGUAGAUUGCAAAUGACCUGCUUUCUUUCUGUUCCCGGGCGGCAUCGGACCCGUCGGAGAGUAAAUCCCAAGUAAGGUACCUGCCGUUGGCAGAUUUGAGCUUUCUUCUUGGACACCUAAUACCCACAGUCCUCCAGGCUCCGGUAGAUUGCAAAUGACCUGCUUUCUUUCUGUUCCCGGGUGGCAUCGACCCGUCGGAGAGUAAAUCCCAAGUAAGGUACCUGCCGUUGGCAGAUUUGAGCUUUCUUCUUGGACACCUAAUACCCACAGUCCUCCAGUAAAUCCCAAGCAAGGUACCUGCCGUCAGCAGAUUUGAGCUUUCUUCUUGGACACCUAAUACCCACAGUCCUCCAGGCUCCGGUAGAUUGCAAAUGACCUGCUUUCUUUCUGUUCCCGGGCUGCGUUCGGACCCCUGUCGGAUAGUAACUCCCAAGUAAGGUACCUGCCGUCGGCAGAUUGGAGCUUUCUUCUUGGAGACCUAAUACCCACAGUCCUCCAGAAAAACAAACAAAGACAUGGAUUUACUGUGCAUAUUAGCAGAUCCAUACUGGAAAAUGCAUGGAGGUUUCAUAUACACCACUUACAGUUUUCAGCUCCUCAGUAGUGACAAAGCCAUACCCAUCAUUGUCGAUUCGAUCAACAAUCUUCCCUAGCCUCUCCUUGCUCUCGUCCGGGGUGAGCUCGUCGAAGUUCUUGGAGUCCUCCUUGCCCAGGAAGGCCUCGUGGUCGUACUGGAAGCUCUGGUUGUCCUCAGGGGGCCGCUCGCCCAGCUCCGAGUCGGGCCGCACCACGCGCUCUUUGCGCACCGUGGGCUUGGCCCGCAGAACCCGCGGCGCCAGCACCAGCGCCAGCAGCAGCCCCAGGGCUAACCCCAGGCGGCCACCGCGCGCCAUCGUCCCGAGGAGAGGGCGGCCGGGAGGGAGACGCUGAGCGAGCGACAACAGCGGCAGCUCGGGAAUGGGGGCUCGGAGCGCGGCGGCCAAGUUUUAUGUUAUGUAUAUUUUACAAGUAAAAAAAUUUUUUCACCUCAGCCUGAACUGAACACUAGCUGACAGACGUUUUGAUUUCUUUGACCAUCACGGAAUCGUGGCCAAGCGCGGUGGCUCACAUCUGUAAUCCCAACACUUUGGGAGGUCAAGAUGGGCGGAUUGCUUGAAUCCAGGUGUUUGAGAUCAGCCUGGGCAACAUGACAAAACCCUGUUUCUAGUAAAAAUACAAAAAUUAACCAGGCUCAAGCCAUGACCAUGCACCAUUGCACUCCAGCCUAGGCGACAGAGCAGGACCCUGUCUCAAAAAAAAAAAAAAAAAAAAAAAAAAAAAAGAAGAAGAAAUCUCAGCAGGCUGAGAUGGAACUCAUUCUUCUCAUGAAGAACGUGGCAAGCAUUAUACAGAGGGGCCAUAGUCUGGAAAGCAGGAGAUGCUUACAGACAUAUAAGUUGUUUCCAGUGUUUUGCUCUUGGUACUCAUGGUUCCACUAUUUACAUCAACCUUUUGAGAAACAUAUUUAUACACUGUCUUAUACUUCCCUCCUUUGCUACAGAAUGAAUCUACUUGUAACCUACCAAAAAUUUACCCUGUCACAUUUCCCCAGCUGCUGGUUUAAAAAUAAAUAUCCUGGAUUUAAAGCCAAUUGUGUCUAACAGGUGCCACCAUCCAAGUGAGGAUUUCACUGUUCACAGGCAUUUGAGACACACCAGCGGCCGGCGGUUCUCACUGCUCUUCAUAUGGAGGCAACCAUAUAUGGGUAAGUCAUUUAGUCUCUUAGGUAGGCGAACUGAGGCCAAUCUCCCCACUUUUAGGGCUGUGAAACUGUUCUGUAUGAUACAAUAAUGGUGGAUAUGCGUCACUAUACAUUCGUCCAAAUCCACAGAAUGUACAACACCAAGAGUGAACCCUACUGUAAACUAUGGACUCUGAGUGACAAUGAUGCAUCAAAUAGGUUCAUCAGUUGUAAUAAAUGCACUGCUCUGGUGCAGAAUGUUGAUGAUGGAGGAGACAGGGGUACAUGGGAAUCUCCGUACCUUCCAUUCAAUUUUGCUAAAACUACUCUAAAAAAUAAAAUUAAAGAAAAAAAAAAGCUCCCCUCUUUCCCCAGUUUUACGAUUUAUUUAUGCUUUGUGAAAUGGAGUCUCACUCUUGACUCCCAGGCUGGAGUGCAGUGAUCUCAGCUCAAUGCAACCUCCACCUCCCGGGUUCAAGAGAUUCUCCUGCUUCAGCCUCCUGAGAGGCUGGGAUUACAGGCGCAUGGCACCAUGCCCAGCUAAUUUUUGUAUUUUUAGUAGAGAUGGGGUUUCACUAUGUUGGCCAGGCCAGUCUCGAGCUCCUGAACUCAAGUGAUCUACCGUACCCGGCCCCCAAUGUUAGUUUUUAAAUAAACGACUAUGUUUAAUUCACAUGCUAACAGGCACCUAGAGAAUACUUUCAAGUAAAAAGAUUAAUGAACCCACUUCGCAUUGAGUUAGCUGGUUGUUUUCUGCCAACCAGGUGUCCCUGCCUGGUCCACAGUUGACCAAGGAUCCCUGCAUCUGCCUCUAGCAACACCCAACACUGUAUGAAGGGCUGAGGGGGUCUGACAGUUCACGUCACUGACAUCCUCUCACUGGUAUUUCGAAUGCCAAGCCAGCCCUCAAAUCAAGUUCACUGGCCUCGACUGAGCUGCCAAGUAUUUCAUACAUGGGGAGGGGGGUUGGGGGGGGGGAGGGUAGGGGGAUCACACAGGUGCCAGGCAAUGAGUAAGAUUAUCCCAGCAACUUCUCCAUGCAGAGAGAAAUGUCUGCAGCUGCAACACUAUUUCUACUCCAGCCUUCUAGACUCCAUGUAGUUUGCCUUUGUUUGAAUGUUUCUAUUUAUCUGAAAUAACCAGAAAUCAUUUUUAUUAUUAUAUAUUACUCCAGUUUAUUAAAUAAAUGAAACAAGGCUUAUGCCACAUAUUCCAACAAUGUUUAAAUAAAGAGCUUGAAAUAUAAA